GAUGAAGAACGUAGCGAAAUGCGAUAAGUAAUGUGAAUUGCAGAAUUCAGUGAAUCAUCGAAUCUUUGAACGCACAUUGUGCCCGCCAGUAUUCUGGCGGGCAUGCCUGUUCGAGCGUCAUUUCAACCAUCAAGCCCCAGGCUUGUGUUGGGGACCUGCGGCUGCCGCAGGCCCUGAAAACCAGUGGCGGGCUCGCUGUCACACCGGGCGUAGUAGAUUUUAUCUCGCUCAGGGCGUGCUGCGGGUUCCGGCCGUUAAAAAGCCUUUUUUACCCAAGGUUGACGUCGGAUCAGGUAGGAAGACCCGCUGAACUUAAGCAUAUCAAAAGCGGAGGA
rnacentral:misc_RNA from 1 species